rnacentral:piRNA from 1 species
UGAACAAUAUCAACAUCAACCAGGGCAG